ensembl:lncRNA
UCCCUGACCCAGCAAGGGUUUUUAAAUGUUUGAAGUGUUCUGGACGUGAAACCCACAGAAAGAUAACUACGCUAUUAUUAUAAUUAUCUCCUCCAGCCAGAAUCAAUGUGUUUUUCACCAAAACUCCAGAUUUGUUUUCCAUCUAAGAGAUGAAAAACACCUAAGAGAUUCUCCCAUUUAAGAGAUUCUCCUGCUUCAGCCUCUUGAGUAGCAGGAAUUACAAGCGUCCGCCACUACGCGCAAGCCCGGCUAAUUUUUGUAUUUUUAGUAGAGAUGGGGUUUCACCCUGUUGACCUGGCUGGUCUGGAACUCCUGACCCCAGGUGAUCCGCCCGCCUCCGGCUCCCAAAGUGCUGAAAUUACAGGCAUGAGCCACCGCGUUGGGCUUCAAAGCACUGUUUAAUAUCCCCUAAUUAUGCACAGAACAGCGUAACUGUAUGAUUAUAGGACAGGAUUACUCAGUGAUACUAUUAUUUGGGCCUUGUAGAAUAGAAGAAGGGAGAAAAUUGGAUUUAAACAGAGCAGGAUAAUUUUGAUCUUAUAAAGUGUAGAGCAUCAAAGCAGUUUGCUAGCUUGAAUUUUAAAAAUUAUUUCAUUGAUGUUAAUUAUGAAGUGUAAGAAUUUUUAAAUGGUAAAAAUGACUGAUUUGGUCAUUAAACUUUCUGAUUUUGGUCUUUACCAAAAAUAAAAAAACUCCACACUUGUUCCUGAGCCUAGUGUUCUGUGGAAUAACAAUUGUAAAUUAAGGCUUUAAAUUUAGAGGCUAAAUAAGGAAAUUCUGUUUUCGUUUGUUUGUUUGUUUUUGAGACAAAGUCUCGCUCUGAAAUCCAGGCUGCCACUGACUGUGGGGGCUCGAUCAUGGAUCACUGCAACCUUGACCUCCAAGGCUCAAGCCAUCCUCCUGCCUCAACCUCUGGGGUAGCUGGGGCUACAGUGUCUGCUGUCAAGGUGUUCUGCUGUUCUUUACUGUGGAUAUCUGUUGGCUGUUCUAUGGUGUUGCUGUUCUCACCCCGUCAGAUGCCUGGUGGCUUCUCUCUGUUUCCUCCUGCAAAGAUGUCAAUACCAUACAGGUAUCGUGACUGUUGGUGGUUUGUCCUUAUCUGCUUGAAUUUUGGAGUCUGUGGGCAUGCCCUCUCACCCAGGUUUAUUGUUAAUGUUGCCAGUGAUUUUGCCAUUGCUAAAUAGUUUCUCUGUCUACUGUUACAUGGCAAUUCAGAAAUAACAAAAAACUACGUCAUUUCUGCAACUGCCACAUUCCCAGAAUCUUUUGUGGUGUUUUUUUACUUGCAUAAGUCUUAAAUUUUAAUGUAGUCAGAUUUAUCAAUCUUUAAUGUUAUGGCUUUAUGCUUUUGCUUGUAUGCUUAGAGAGGCUUUCUCCAUUCUAAACUGAGGUAAGUAAUCUCUCAUACAUUUUAAAGUAUUUUAUUGGUUUUUUUUUUUUUGUACAUUAAAAAUGUAAUCCAUCUGUAAUUUAUUUUGGUGUUUGGUGAGAUUUAGGGAUCUGAUUUUUCCAAGUAGACUUUUCCAAAACCAUUUAUUCGAUUAUCUCAGAACUGAUUGAAAGGCCUCAUUUAAUCUAGACUAAACACUCUUUGUAGUUAGGUCUGUUAUUAAGCUCUCUAAUCAUUUCCAUCGGUCUGUCUUCCACACAGUUUUAACAACCAAACAUUAUAAUUUUCCGUGUCUGCUAAGUGUAAGAACUUUUCUUCUAUUAAUCCUUUCUAACAUUUUAAAACCAUUCCUUCCCAUUUAUUCUUUAAGAGGAAUAGCCGAAGAAUGUCAUCAAUCCCAUGGUUAUUUUAACUGGGAUGGCAAAUAAUUU